rnacentral:rRNA from 1 species
CACGUAGGGCGCAAGCGUUGUCCGGAAUUAUUGGGCGUAAAGAGCUCGUAGGCGGCUUGUUGCGUCGACCGUGAAAACCCGGGGCUCAACUUCGGGCUUGCGGUCGAUACGGGCGGGCUAGAGUUCGGUAGGGGAGACUGGAAUUCCUGGUGUAGCGGUGAAAUGCGCAGAUAUCAGGAGGAACACCGGUGGCGAAGGCGGGUCUCUGGGCCGAUACUGACGCUGAGGAGCGAAAGCGUGGGGAGCGAACAGGA